CCCUGUCGGCUUUCCCCUGGUCCGGGCAUCUUCAAAAAUCUCCCAUCCCAGCAAAUCCUCGCCCUGACCUGAUCCAAAUUCCCCACCUGCUCCGCCGCCCGCCGCCUUUGACACCAUCGUCUCAGCCGCCGCCGCCAUGUCCUUCGCACCCGGCCCAGUCACACACCACUCUCAUACGUAUCACCACGAUCCUCCUUGCCACCACCCCCGCCGCCGCCGACGAGACCACGACGACCCCUACCACCCAUAUCUCCAACCCCUCACCCGUUCACAUCCCUACCACAGCGCCGCCGCUCCUCCCUACCACGUCCCCCGCGAUCCGCUCGCGCUCUCCCACCUCCAGGAACGCCUCUUUCCGCCACCCCCUCCUCAUCAGCCGGCCUCUGGCCCGCCGCCGCCAAAGCGGGCUCGACGCGCGCCGGAGCCCCGGUAUGAUCCGGCGUACGUGGCGACGUCCCCAGUUGUGCCGGCGAAACAGACUGAGGACAGCGACACCAGGGGGCUACUGUCGCAGGUCGAGAUCGAGCGACGAUCACCUUCUCGGAAGGACGGGAUCGACUCUGCUCUAGAGGCGAGGCUGCGCGCGUCCUACUGUGCCUACCUGCGCUGCCUCGGCUUCCGCCUUGACCUGCCCCAGACGACGAUUGCAACGGCGGUGGUGUAUUGCCAUCGGUUCUUUUUACACAGAUCGCACGCCUGCCAUGAUAGAUUUCUUGUUGCGACCGCAGCAUUAUUUCUUGCGGCAAAGUCAGAGGAAACAACAUGCCUUUUGAAUACUGUUAUUAGGGCUUCAUGUGAAGUUUCUGGAAGUAAAGAAUUCAAUCUCUUUCCUUACUUCAUGCGUGGUCCAAACUGGUUUGAACAAUACCGAGAAAAUAUAACACAGGCGGAGCAAAUGAUACUGACAACACUUGAUUUUGAACUUGAAGUGACCCAUCCAUAUGCUUCACUUUCAUCCGCUUUGAGCAAAUUAGGACUCGCACAGUCUGUUCUAUUUAAUGUGGCUUGGAAUCUGAUUAAUGACGGGUAAGUAUUAUUUUUAUCGCUGUACGCAUUACUUGAUCAAUAUUGACUGACAUAAUUCGUUUCUUGAGUUCUUAAUUAACAAAAGUCAAGGUAUCUUGUACAACAUUCGUACACCUGUGGACUCGAGCAAUCUCAAAUUACCAUGUUACUGUUUGGAUUUUGGAUUUUCUGAAAGUUGGGCCAUGCUGAGUACUUUAAAUGCUGCGCUUUGAAUGCAUGUCAUAUGUGGAUUGUAGUGGUACAAUCAUCAAUACUUGUUACAAUCUUCCUAUUGGACAAAAAAAAUACAGCUGCACAUAUGAGACAUUUAAUGGAGGUUGUUAUCAAGGUAAAUGCUAGGCAUGCAAUGCUUUCUGGACCUAUAGUUAGCAAGACUGGAAUGAAGAUACCAUCUACGUUUCAUUGUGAACUAGCCUCAUUGGAAGCAUUCGGUAUUGGUUGAUCGGUGUUCUGCCAAAGCCGCUAACUGGAUCUAAAUGAUGGCAGUGCAACACAUGUUGAAAUUGUUUAACCUGAAUGAUUAGAGAGCUUAAGGGUGAUUUGGUUAUAGUGUGAGAUCCAACGUUUCUUAAGUGUUAAACAUUUCUUGUACUCACCCCAUCGGUCACAAAAUAAGUGUCCUUUGAUAUAUCAUCCAUGGCUAGCAAAAAAUACUGUAUGGAGUAUCACUUAGUUUUCUAUGCUGUUGUCAGUGUAAUUUUGUUGUAUAUUGUUGCUGACUGAAGUAUCUUAAACUGUAUAAAGACCCAUCCUGCAGUUAUUGUACACGUGUAUCUUGAUUUUCUCUUUGCUUUAUAGUUCCGCGACAAGUAGGAGACCAAUUUCAUGUGGAUUGUGUUGACUCUAUCUUUAUGAAUAUGUAAUCUUUCUAAGAUUAACCAAAAACAGCUCUCCAUUCUGUGUAUGGAGGUUUAUCCUACUGCAAAUCACAAUAUGAAUUGCCUGCAUUCUUGUACGUACGAUUUACUGUAUUAUUGGUUGCAUCUCUAAUAUGUCUGAGAAGGGGUCUGUGGUAUUCACCAUUCACCAAAUUUUACAGAUCAACCAUUUUCAUGGAUGAACUUGUGCAUACUUAAAAAGAAAGGAAGAAGAUAACCUACUUCUAGAUACCUAAGUAUAACUUGCUAAGUUUACAAACAUGGGAAAAUAUUAUAUAUACUACCCUGUUGAUAUAUAAUUGAUAUGUCAUCUGUAUGAAAUGCAUAUAUACCAUUGCAAAAGUAUGGAAAUUUUGGGUACACCAUUGCAAGAUGCGAAGAUUUGGAAAUUGACUUCUACUGUACAGUUCUGAACAACUGAACACGGUGCUGACGAAGCAUGCCAAGUGUUAUGAACAUUCUGCAUAUUUGUUUCUCAAGAAUGCUGCUCGGAUCAUAUGGCAUGACCUUUCAGUUUGAUAAGCCAUUUGUGCAUGUCAUUUUGUCACUAGUUAUGUUCUGCAGUAGUGAUUACUGAAUUCAUAUUUUCUUUUCUAGUCUGCCUAUUUGAACUGAAAGGAUUUUGAACCAGUUGGUAACAUUAGAAUUUCGAUCAACUUUGAAGAAAUCCUAAAACUUCCAUUCCCGUUAAGGUCUUAGGCAUGUUAAUUUUUCAUUUGCUUGCCUAUCAAGUCAUUGAAAAGAUAACUCCCGUUUUAAGACAUUACUUGGGGUGAUAAUCUUGUGCUGAAUAAUCAGUCUUGCAUUGUUGUGUUACAUUCGUUGCUGAUAUCUUGUGCUGCUGCAGUACUGUCAUAUCCUCUGCGUUCCCUGUUGAGCUGAAUGCAAUUUGUUUUGGCUUGAAAAUGACAUUUUUCUAGAAUCAUCAAUCAUGCCAUUUGGCUUGAAAAUGACAAGAAUCACCAAUCAUGUCAUUUCGGCUGUUGAGUGAUCUAAUGUAUCUCAUAAAUUUUUUUUUAUCAAAUGUCUCCAUCCUUAUCCAGUCUUCUACCUAAGAUCUGUUUUAGUAAUAAGUAUGAACUUCCCUCUCAACACUGCAAGGCCAAAAACAAUAUUGUUUAUUGACGUCCCCCAACUCACUCUUUUUGUACUUGGACUUGGUAUUUCUUACACUACGUGUCCAUUCUAAAUAUUUUGAACAUAUUAUUUGUCAAAGAUAAGAAAAUGUUUGACUGCAAUUAAUUUUGCUCGCAACAUUUUGUCGUCAAGAGGGAUUACUUGGUAUGAAUGCAUAUUUGAUAUGCAAAGACCAUUGACUGGCUAAUGUGGUGGUGGUGCUAGGACUGUUUCAUUUGCAGAUUUAUCUUCAUUGUUGGUUAUAUAUAUAUGUUCUCUUUUAGUUCAGGUACAUAUCCGUAACCAAGGGGUUAAGAUGUUGAACAACUUUAAGCUUAAAAAUGACUUAUUUGGUUCAUGUUCCGGUGUGCAUGCACAUGUACUUUCCUUUCAUGUGCUUCUAUAUUCAGUAGACUAUGGCCAAGGUGAUUUUGUCAGCUCUAAUAAGGCUUCUGUGAGCUGAUUGGUUUGAAAUGAGUUUCCUGCUGUGUGCAAGUAGACAGCGAUCCAUUUUGUGUGGGAUAAAUACAGAAGCACUCUGCCGAACACUUUUGCGCUACAUUUCUAGAAUCUUAGUAGGGACUGGUGGUUAUCAUAAAAACAAACUUUCACCUCAUUAAGUAGCGAUGCUAUUAAAUGAUUGAUUAUAUGAUAGUUGGACAAAGGGAAAAUGUGCGUGAAGGUAAGAUUACACACCUACCAUUCUAGCAAAUAUUUUAUAACUUCCACAACCGAAGCUACAGAUUCAAGUCACUGCAACCAGACUGAACUUUGUCUUAAAUAUUCUCUUUUUCAUUUGAAUUGAAGCUACACUUCUAGUGGAUCUCGCUUUAGUGUUCCUGUUGACAAUGUGAAGCUCAUAAUGUAAAUCAAGUUUCAUAUACAUUUCUGAUGGCCCGUAUUAUGACCGCACAAUCCUAUUUAAUGAAAAACCACAAGGGACACACUGUUCUUCUAUCUUCUGAGUUAUUACAGAUCAAUUUUCCUUUCUUUUUUGUGACUUCCAAAUUACGUAUGGUACUUUUUUCUGUAUUUUUCAAAUACGACCGUACAUUCAAGAUUUUAUUUAUCUCUUGUGAUUAUAAUAAUGGACAUAUAUAAUUGUUACAUUUGUAAUCAAUCAGCUGUUCCUAUUUAUAUGCUCGUCAUUAAACACACGUUUCUGUUUUAUGCAGAUUUCCUUAUGCCUGUUUAUUUCAAUUUAGGUCAUAAAGUGUGCAUGGCUUGCUAGUUCCAUCAUUAGUUUGAUCAGUCAGAAUUUCUUUGUAGAGACGGAUCAGUUCCUUCCCAGCUACCCUUUGGUUUUACUAAAGGCAGUACUUCACUGACACAUUGGUGUAUUUAUGUAAUAUAUCGUCCUUAACAAGGCUAGCAUCAUCUUAGCCAAGAGAGUCAUAUGGAAGCGCUGACUGCAUGCUAAUUUAAAUCGGGCUACAUGUAUUAGUCAGCACAAAAGAACAACUUGAGAUUGGUUAGUAAACAUGAACAAGUACAACUCCGUGGGGACAUGCUAUCUUCUCCCUUUUGUGCGUUUCAAAUCUAACCUUGUCAUGGUCAAAGGGUUUGUCAAAGGGUUUAGAGGGUUGCCAUAUCUCAUUGGAGCAUUAUUAUUUGGUCAAAGAAUUGUCCUUCGAAUUGCAAAAGGGCAUGUGUAAUUGCUAGAGUUUAGCAAUAUGGCAAAUUCCGCAGAUGGUUCUUCGAUAAUAUUAUCACCUGAAGCAACUUUUAGUGGCUUCAGAGUUCUCUUUGGCUUCAGUUCAAACCUCAUCAUAUUGCUGCUGGAGCUGCAUUCCUUGCUGGAAAGUUCCUCCGAUACGACAUUACCUUGCACCCAAAUUUCUGGCAUGAAUUCAAGACGACACCAUACAUUGUUAAAGAUGUUGUCCGGCAGUUGAAGGAGCUACUUUAGGAUACUAGAUUCCAUAUGUUUACCCUUUAUACCAACAGAUCCUUUUACUUUGCUUAGUGGCCACUGUUACAAAUCUGUAUACCUGGAUAUUUGGCCACUUUCUCUUGAAUUACUGGACAGCAUUAGUAGUCUGAGAUUGUACUCAUCCUUUUCUGUUUUUUUUUCUACAACUACAGAGUGUUUCCAUGUACAAAAAGGAUAAACCUUGUCUCAAAAGUUCUCCUCAGUUUUUGUUAUUUUUAGUUUCUGCAAAAUAGUGGGAUGUAUGUUUGACGCACGGAAGUUCUUUUUUUAAAGACGGCCGUUAACUGUC